AGAGAAUAGAUACCCGGGUAGUUCACGCCCUAAACGAUGGAUACUCGACAUACGCGAUACACUGUGUGUGUCUGAGCGAAAGCAUUAAGUAUCCCACCUGGGAAGUACGACCGCAAGGUUGAAACUCAAAGGAAUUGGCGGGGUCGCACAAGCGGUGGAGCAUGUGGUUUAAUUUACGAUGAUACGCGAGGAACCUUACCUGGGCGUAGAAUGCUAGUUGACCGAGGGUGAAAGCUCUCUUUGUAGCAAUACACAACUAGUAAGGUGCUGCAUGGCUGUCGUCAGCUCGUGCCGUGAGGUGUUGGGUUAAAGUCCCGCAACGAGCGCAACCCCCACUCAGUAGUUGUCCAUCAGGUAACGCUGGGAACGUACUACUGAAACUGCCGUCGUAAGACGCGAGGAAGGAGGGGAUGAUGUCAAGUCAUCAUGG
rnacentral:rRNA from 1 species